rnacentral:rRNA from 1 species
UACGUAGGGUCCGAGCGUUGUCCGGAAUUACUGGGCGUAAAGAGCUCGUAGGUGGUUUGUCGCGUUGUUCGUGAAAACUCACAGCUCAACUGUGGGCGUGCGGGCGAUACGGGCAGACUUGAGUACUGCAGGGGAGACUGGAAUUCCUGGUGUAGCGGUGGAAUGCGCAGAUAUCAGGAGGAACACCGGUGGCGAAGGCGGGUCUCUGGGAAUGUCCUGACGCUGAGGAGCGAAAGUGUGGGGAGCGAACAGG